GCCUUUUCUGGGGUCGAUCUAGGGACCUUUAAGGUACUUUCGGAUCCUAAUUCCAAGUCUGGGGGACCGAUAGCUUCGGUGAUUGCUCCUGCAAAGGGGCAUGAACCGGUCGGGCUCACCGAUAAGGAUCGGGCUUCCGGGGGUUCCACUGGUUCCUCCAACGCCUAGGUUACAGAGGAGGGCCUGGUUCUUUGCCCACCUUAGAUGUUUGUUAGGUCAUGGGUCUGAGGGUGAUCCAGAUCAACCUCCAGCACUCCCGAGCCGCUUCCGCCCUGUUGGGUCGGCUGCUGUGACCUUGCUCUAAUUCAGGAGCCAU
rnacentral:lncRNA from 1 species